UACAGAGGUCUCAAGCGUUGUUCGGAAUUAUUGGGCGUAAAGGGCGCGUAGGCGGUGCGGUAAGUCACCUGUGAAACCUCUAGGCUUAACCUAGAGCCUGCAGGCGAAACUGCCGUGCUUGAGGGUGGGAGAGGUGCGUGGAAUUCCCGGUGUAGCGGUGAAAUGCGCAGAUAUCAGGAGGAACACCAAUAGCGAAGGCAGCUCGCUGGGACGUUACUGACGCUGAGACGCGAAAGCGUGGGGAGCAAACAGG
rnacentral:rRNA from 1 species